rnacentral:sRNA from 1 species
GCUUCAAAUCUCUAUGACAUAUUUGCUAC